GUCAGACAUGGUGGCAAAUGCCUGUAAUCCCACUGACUUGGGAGGCUGAGGCAGGAGGAUUGUGAGUUCAAGGGCAGCCUCAGCAAUUUAUUGAGGCCCUAAGCAACUUAGUGAGACCCUGUCUCAA
rnacentral:sRNA from 1 species